rnacentral:rRNA from 1 species
UACAGAGGGGGCAAGCGUUGUUCGGAAUUACUGGGCGUAAAGGGCGCGUAGGCGGCCUGCUAAGUCGAACGUGAAAUCCCUGGGCUCAACCCAGGAACUGCGUCCGAUACUGGUUGGCUUGAAUCCGGGAGAGGGAUGCGGAAUUCCAGGUGUAGCGGUGAAAUGCGUAGAUAUUCGCAAGAACACCAGUGGCGAAGGCGGCUCACUGGCCCGGUACUGACGCUGAGGUGCGAAAGCGUGGGGAGCAAACAGG